rnacentral:rRNA from 1 species
AGAGUUUGAUCCUGGCUCAGAUUGAACGCUGGCGGCAUGCCUUACACAUGCAAGUCGAACGGCAGCACGGGAGCAAUCCUGGUGGCGAGUGGCGAACGGGUGAGUAAUAUAUCGGAACGUGCCCAGUCGUGGGGGAUAACGUAGAGAAAUUUACGCUAAUACCGCAUACGAUCUCUGGAUGAAAGCGGGGGACUCGCAAGGGCCUCGCGCGAUUGGAGCGGCCGAUAUCAGAUUAGCUAGUUGGUGGGGUAAAAGCCCACCAAGGCGACGAUCUGUAGCUGGUCUGAGAGGACGACCAGCCACACUGGAACUGAGACACGGUCCAGACUCCUACGGGAGGCAGCAGUGGGGAAUUUUGGACAAUGGGCGCAAGCCUGAUCCAGCAAUGCCGCGUGCAGGAUGAAGGCCUUCGGGUUGUAAACUGCUUUUGUACGGAACGAAACGGCUCUUUCUA